rnacentral:rRNA from 1 species
AGAGUUUGAUCAUGGCUCAGGACGAACGCUGGCGGCGUGCUUAACACAUGCAAGUCGAACGGAAAGGCCCUUCGGGGUACUCGAGUGGCGAACGGGUGAGUAACACGUGGGUGAUCUGCCCUGCACUCUGGGAUAAGCCUGGGAAACUGGGUCUAAUACCGGAUGGGACCGCAUGCUUCAUGGUGUGUGGUGCAAAGCUUUUGCGGUGUGGGAUGAGCCCGCGGCCUAUCAGCUUGUUGGUGGGGUAAUGGCCUACCAAGGCGACGACGGGUAGCCGGCCUGAGAGGGUGACCGGCCACACUGGGACUGAGAUACGGCCCAGACUCCUACGGGAGGCAGCAGUGGGGAAUAUUGCACAAUGGGCGCAAGCCUGAUGCAGCGACGCCGCAUGAGGGAUGACGGCCUUCGGGUUGUAAACCUCUUUCAGUAGGGACGAAGCGAAAGUGACGGUACCUACAGAAGAAGGACCGGCCAACUACGUGCCAGCAGCCGCGGUAAUACGUAGGGUCCGAGCGUUGUCCGGAAUUACUGGGCGUAAAGAGCUCGUAGGUGGUUUGUCGCGUUGUUCGUGAAAACUCACAGCUUAACUGUGGGCGUGCGGGCGAUACGGGCAGACUAGAGUACUGCAGGGGAGACUGGAAUUCCUGGUGUAGCGGUGGAAUGCGCAGAUAUCAGGAGGAACACCGGUGGCGAAGGCGGGUCUCUGGGCAGUAACUGACGCUGAGGAGCGAAAGCGUGGGUAGCGAACAGGAUUAGAUACCCCGGUAGUCCAA